ensembl:lncRNA
AUGAAGAGAACAAUUGAGUCCUUUCAUCUUUUCAGUGUCUUAUGUCCACGGUGGAUAGAAGAAAAAUUAAGAAGCUUAGUGAUUCAAGGAAGAUUUAGAUCAGUCACUGAGGAGGAACUAGCAGGAAGAGAUUAUCAAGGCAGGCUCCUGAGCUGUGUGGCAAUUGAGCACGUACCUGUUGGAAAUGCUUCAGGCAGAGAGAAACCUGCCUGCAGAGCCCUGGUACAGCAGGGUGCUGGCCUGAAACCAAUGUUCUGUGGGACCUGGAGCCAGAAACAGGAUCACGGUUUCAGGAAGGGCCCUAAAAGAAGGGCUCUUCUUUCAGGUCGGGAUCCAACAGAUAUCUGUUACACGGAGGCAGGAUUUGAGCUGAGCAGAAUCCAGAAGGGACAAAGACCUUUUCUUUCAAGUACUGCACAGAUCUCCCUCACAUACAGAGCAAAGUAUGGCCAACAAAAGUGUUACACUCUGUUUUCAGUGCACCUUUCAAAACCCCUGGAGAUGUUAAAUAGACAUCGUGACAUGCUUUCUUAGCUAAUUUGACUAAAGGUGAGAUGAACUCUAAUUCUAUGUUAUUCUUAGCUAAUUUUUAUUGUUUCCUACAUCCAUCUAUGCUGGAUUUACAGAUCUGAGCAUCCCAUGAAUGCAACUGUACUUCAAAAAAAAGACAUGAAGCAUUCAAUUUAGAGCAAAUCAGCACUUAAGGCGUCCUAUGCGCAUUAUUUUUGAAGACUAGUGGAAAAUGCUGAAUAACUUUGUUCUAUUCUGCCUCAGACUAAAGAGCACUGACAUCAUCCUUCCGUGCUGGGUUUCUGCUGAGGACACUGCUCAAGGCCUAUAUUGAAUUUGGUGUGAUUUGAAAUGAGAUUUGACCAUGCUAUUUCUGUCAUCAGAACAUAUCAAGUGUCUUCUUUGCUGCUCUUCUCCUUCUGUUACUGAAGAGGGAAAUGUGCCGAGGGCUGGGAACCCAGGAAGCCGAAGUUCUGCACCUGAUAAAACUGAGUGAAAUUACAAGAAUCCAUAUCUCAUAUUUACACCUAUGUCCACGUGGAUGGGGUUUCCAUUCUUGUGUGCUCAUCGUGGGCACCAUGGUUCUUCCCCCAAGGGUUGUGCUGCAGGCACUGAGAGCCCACAUGUUCUCUCCAUGGAAAUGUAACUUGACUUCAACAAUUUUCCCUGCUCCUGAGUCAUUUUGGGCAGCAUCUUGCCAGCCGGGUAGUGGGAACUUCCUUAUGUACCCAAAUCCAUAAAAAAACCUCUACACCUGAUUGGACAGCUUGCCCUCCCUUGUGUUGUCCAGAGUCAACCUUUGAGCACAGUGCCAUCUGCUGAGGACUGAGGUACUUGUGCAGCCCAAACAUAGGCCGUCACAUCUCAUCCACAAAGGAAUAAGAAAACCCUUAGGUUUUUGUCAUUUAUAACCAGUCCUCAAAUAACAGCACACUUCUGAAACAGAUUUUCAGUAGGAGCAGCAACAAAUAGACCCCCUGUUUCACCAGAAGAGGACCAUUUGAAUCUGUGUGCUUGGGUAUCAGCCAGAGGCCUGAUUAAGUCUAGAUCCAGGCUGAGCUGGCUCCUGACUUGGAAUUUAUACAACUGCAAUUAGACCUAAAAUUGUACCUUUUGGCAUCUGUAGCUCAGUUAUACAGAGAGCUCUUGAACAUACUGAAAAGGAGCCCAAAAUACAGGGUCUGUUGUGCCAUGCCAGUACCGCUCCAGCUGCCUAGAGAGCUGUGACCACCUCCUCUUGGCAGAGGAAGAUCUUGAGGUCCCCAGGGACUUUGGGCAUUUAAUCAAAUAGAAACUGGCCUGGAAGGAAAUUUCACUGCUGAAGAAGGCACUUUCUUUCUGAAGGGCUUCACUGACCCUUCAUUGCCUCCACCAUCAGCUUAACUCUCACACUCCUCCCCGGCUCCAUAUUCUGUCCUCCCUCAGUAUCCCCUCCAUGAACAAUGUUUCCUUCCCCUAGUGACCUGAGCAGGCGAACAUACCCCUGUCUUAUCUUAGAUGGCUUCUUCUCCAGCCAUGAAACAAUGCACAUGGAAACAUGUGGCUGCUGCCAAAGCACCUUUCUGACAAGCAUCCAGUGAGCUGGAUCUCUCCCCUUGAACCUAGGCAGGCACACAUGUGUAGAGGGGAGGGUUAUUUCUGCAGGUAUUUCUCCCUUGUAUAUGGGCCUCCAGCACUCCCAGCACAACCACACAGAAGAAAGAAACACAAGCCCAUGUCCUGCAUUUCCUGCCUGUGCAAGAAUGGUGCUAGGAUAUGGACUCUAGAUACCUAAAUGAGGCUGUCAGUAAUAUGGGCCUUUACAGGCUGUGUAGGUGCCUCACCCCUCAUCACACUGCAGAUAUAACCAAUGCAAGAGCUGCUCAGCUAAGUAUAAGCCUGUAGGAUUGUUUGAGAUGUCCUCAGUUAAGCAGGCUGAUCAGUGCUGGCAGGUAUGACAUGACGCCUACAGAAAACCCUUCUGGUGGCUUCAGGCCAGGCAAAAUAAACAGAGCAUCUCAGCUGGGACUGGAUGCUGGCACCUAGGGAACUAAGUGAAGGCAUUGUUCCCGGAUCCUAAUGGAAGACUUGAACCAGAAAUUCCAAGCUCCAUGAAUCUGAAAACUGCACUGAACUCCACCCUCCAUUUGUAUGGAGUCACCUAAUAACUCUGCAGUAUUCCUGCUUUGAAAUCCUUCCACAACUUUCAUUGUUAUUGCACACUAUAGUCACUCUACACAAAAUGCAUGGUUGUUUCCCACACAUUAUGGCUGCAGAAGGAGAUUUGCCUUUGGAGGGUUAAUAGUUACAGUUCUGCUGAAUAGAUACAGUGUCAGGUUGUUUUGGUAUCCUUUAAGAUAAAUGGAUAGACAGGUGGCAAAAAGCAUAUUUUAUAAGUGAAAAAAAAAUAAAGCAAAUGAAAAUGCGCAACAUUUU